rnacentral:rRNA from 1 species
CCUACGGGUGGCAGCAGUGAGGAAUAUUGGUCAAUGGGCGCGAGCCUGAACCAGCCAAGUCGCGUGAAGGAUGACUGCCCUACGGGUUGUAAACUUCUUUUAUCAGGGAAUAAAGUGCGGCACGUGUGCCUUUUUGUAUGUACUUUAUGAAUAAGGAUCGGCUAACUCCGUGCCAGCAGCCGCGGUAAUACGGAGGAUUCGAGCGUUAUCCGGAUUUAUUGGGUUUAAAGGGUGCGUAGAUGGGUAGUUAAGUCAGUGGUGAAAGUUUGCGGCUCAACCGUAAAAGUGCCAUUGAAACUGGUAGUCUUGAGUACAGGUGAGGUAUGCGGAAUGCGUGGUGUAGCGGUGAAAUGCAUAGAUAUCACGAAGAACUCCGAUUGCGAAGGCAGCAUAC